rnacentral:rRNA from 1 species
UUCGCAAUGCCCGAAAGGGUGAACGAGCGACGCCGCGUGGAGGACGAAGGCCUUCGGGUUGUAAACUCCUGUCGAGGGGGAGGAAGGGGCAACCUUGACCGAUCCCUGGAGGAAGCACGGGCUAAGUUCGUGCCAGCAGCCGCGGUAAGACGAACCGUGCGAACGUUAUUCGGAAUCACUGGGCUUAAAGCGCGUGUAGGCGGAUGGGAACGUCGGUCUUUGAAAGCCCCCGGCUCAACCGGGGAAGCGGAGCCGAAACGACCGAUCUGGAGGGACGUAGGGGGACCUGGAACUUCCGGUGGAGCGGUGAAAUGCGUUGAGAUCGGAAGGAACGCCCGUGGCGAAAGCGACUCUCUGGUCUACAACUGACGCUGAGGUGCGAAAGCUAGGGGAGCAAACGGGAUUAGAUACCCCGGUAGUCCUAGCCCUAAACGAUGGGCACUAAGUAGAGGGGUUUU